AUCUAUGGUCAUGCCACCCUGAACAAGCCUGAUCCUGUCUGACCUCAGAAGCUAAGCAGGGAUGGGCCUGGUUAGUACUUGGAUGGGAGACCACCUAGGAAGACCAGGUGUUGUAGGCG
rnacentral:rRNA from 1 species